GUCUCCGUAGUGCAAUGGAUAGCGCGUUGGACUUCUAAUCCAAAGGACGUGGGUUUGAAUCCUACCUGGGAUG
rnacentral:tRNA from 1 species